UAGCCAGCUGCAGCGUGGACUCCAAGACGCAAUGUGUGUAUGAUAGGUGGGACCAUAUAUUAAUAGUAUAGUAAGAGCAAGUUUAAUAGUAUAGACCACUACUAGCUCCAAUUCAUCUAUAGCCAAUCUAUUAGCUAAGUCAUACAAUAAUUGCUUACUAUACUAUUAAUAUAUGGUCCUACAUGUCAUGCACACAUUGCGUCUUGGAGUCCGUGCUGCAGCUGGGUUCG
rnacentral:misc_RNA from 1 species